CCAAAGGCUCUUUUCAGAGCCACCUACUUUAGCAACAAAAGGAGCU
rfam:Sus scrofa chromosome 7.